GACCUGGCUCAGGAUGAACGCUGGCGGCGUGCUUAACACAUGCAAGUCGAGCGAAGCNCUUAGGAAAGAUUCUUCGGAUGAUUUCCUAUUUGACUGAGCGGCGGACGGGUGAGUAACGCGUGGGUAACCUGCCUCAUACAGGGGGAUAACAGUUAGAAAUGACUGCUAAUACCGCAUAAGACCACAGCACCGCAUGGUGCAGGGGUAAAAACUCCGGUGGUAUGAGAUGGACCCGCGU
rnacentral:rRNA from 1 species